rnacentral:rRNA from 1 species
GGAUUCCGUGACGCAGCUAACGCAUUAAGUUCCCCGCCUGGGGAGUACGGCCGCAAGGCUAAAACUCAAAGGAAUUGACGGGGACCCGCACAAGCGGCGGAGCAUGCGGAUUAAUUCGAUGCAACGCGAAGAACCUUACCAAGGCUUGACAUACACGAGAACGGGCCAGAAAUGGUCAACUCUUUGGACACUCGUGAACAGGUGGUGCAUGGUUGUCGUCAGCUCGUGUCGUGAGAUGUUGGGUUAAGUCCCGCAACGAGCGCAACCCUCGUUCUAUGUUGCCAGCACGUAAUGGUGGGAACUCAUGGGAUACUGCCGGGGUCAACUCGGAGGAAGGUGGGGAUGACGUCAAAUCAUCAUGCCCCUUAUGUCUUGGGCUUCACGCAUGCUACAAUGGCCGGUACAAUGGGCUGCGAUACCGUAAGGUGGAGCGAAUCCCAAAAAGCCGGUCCCAGUUCGGAUUGAGGUCUGCAACUCGACCUCAUGAAGUCGGAGUCGCUAGUAAUCGCAGAUCAGCAACGCUGCGGUGAAUACGUUCCCGGGUCUUGUACACACCGCCCGUCAAGUCAUGAAAGUCGGUAACACCUGAAGCCGGUGGCCUAACCCUUGUGGAGGGAGCCGUCGAAGGUGGGAUUGGUAAUUAGGACUAAGUCGUAACAAGG